rnacentral:rRNA from 1 species
UACAGAGGGGGCAAGCGUUGUUCGGAAUUACUGGGCGUAAAGGGCGCGUAGGCGGCCUGUUAAGUCGAACGUGAAAUCCCCGGGCUCAACCCGGGAACUGCGUCCGAUACUGGCAGGCUUGAAUCCGGGAGAGGGAUGCGGAAUUCCCGGUGUAGCAGUGAAAUGCGUAGAUAUCAAGUGGAACACCAGUGGCGAAGGCGAGUCUCUGGACAUUUCCUGACGCUGAGGCACGAAAGCCAGGGGAGCAAACGGG